rfam:Morus notabilis contig22025, whole genome shotgun sequence.
UUGCUAUGAUGAAUUUCAGAAAGUAAAGAGAGCUCAAUUUAUGUGCUUGAUGAAAACUUUUCCUGAGCGGUUAACUGAGCAA